rnacentral:lncRNA from 1 species
ACACUUCCUCAGCUUCCGUAGGCCAGCCACCACCACCUCCAUACUCACAGAGAUGAAGACCAAUGUCCCUGACUUAAUUCAGCGGAAAUAUGUGGAAAGCUUUGGAUGUGCAGGAAACUUAGGUGCUGGCGAAACGUCUGUGCAGGCAAGCUUCAGAGCCCAUAAGGGCACUAAGGAAGUGUUGGAUCCAUGGAUUCAGC